AAGUCGUAACAAGGUUUCCGUAGGUGAACCUGCGGAAGGAUCAUUACAAAGGGUCAUAGUCGAACCAAUCUCGGGGAAAGAGUAAGGUCCCUCCCAAGUAUCCCACCCGUGUCUAUAUACUCUUGUUGCUUUGGCGGGGCGUGGCCUCCACUGCGGGCUCUGCUCGUACGUACCCGCCAGAGGACCAAACUCUGAAUGUUAGUGAUGUCUGAGUACUAUAUAAUAGUUUAAAAA
rnacentral:misc_RNA from 1 species